rnacentral:rRNA from 1 species
CGUGUAGGCGGGUCUUUAAGUCAGGGGUGAAAUGCCAAGGCUCAACCUUGGAACUGCCUUUGAUACUGGAGAUCUUGAGUCCGGGAGAGGUGAGUGGAACUGCGAGUGUAGAGGUGAAAUUCGUAGAUAUUCGCAAGAACACCAGUGGCGAAGGCGGCUCACUGGCCCGGAACUGACGCUGAGACGCGAAAGCGUGGGGAGCAAACAGGAUUAGAUACCCUGGUAGUCCACGCUGUAAACGAUGGAUGCUAGCCGUUGGGGAGCUUGCUCUUCAGUGGCGCCGCUAACGCAUUAAGCAUCCCGCCUGGGGAGUACGGUCGCAAGAUUAAAA